GAAGAAAGUUAAAAAGAAGAACGUCUUUGAUAUCUCGGUCUCCACUGAUCCAGAAAAUGAUUACGAUGAUGUUGAGAUUCCGGCAACCACUGAAAUCCAGCACUCUAUAACACCCAUACCUCUUUGGCAAGCUGAAACGGGCUUACACAGCUCAUUUUAGAAUAAUCUAGAAUGGCUGGACUGUAACAUAAGCACUUCCCGAUCCCUAGAGGAAACCACCUCCGCCAUGUGAAAGCUACAGCAGAGGCUAGGACAGCUUGAUGUCCCCAGUGCUCCAGAUGUGUCUGUUGCUCCAGAUGAUGUUCCUGAUGUUUCUCGCACUGCAGAAGCUCUGUCCUGAGACUCUGAGGGUGUAGCCUUGGCACCUCUGUGGAGGAAGUUUCCUUUGUGCAGACCACUGGGCCUGUGAGAAUUGACUCAUUUCCCCACAUUCCCCUUUGCUCCCGUGGUGAAUGUGGCUG
rnacentral:lncRNA from 1 species